UACGGAGGGUGCGAGCGUUGUCCGGAAUCACUGGGCGUAAAGGGCGCGUAGGCGGCUCGGUAAGUAGGGGGGUGAAAUCCUGCGGCUUAACCGCAGGGCUGCCUUCUAAACUGUCGAGCUCGAGCACGGUAGAGGCAGAUGGAAUUCCCGGUGUAGCGGUGGAAUGCGUAGAGAUCGGGAAGAACAUCAGUGGCGAAGGCGGUCUGCUGGGCCGUUGCUGACGCUGAGGCGCGACAGCGUGGGGAGCAAACAGG
rnacentral:rRNA from 1 species